rnacentral:hammerhead_ribozyme from 1 species
GCCCAGCUGAAGAGUCCCAAAUAGGAUGAAAUGCGCUUUUUGGAC